rnacentral:rRNA from 1 species
UUGGAGGGCAAGUCUGGUGCCAGCAGCCGCGGUAAUUCCAGCUCCAAUAGCGUAUAUUAAAGUUGUUGCAGUUAAAAAGCUCGUAGUUGAAUUUCGGGGUCAAUAAGUUGGUCGUGCCAAUGGUAUGCACUGGCUUUAUUGAUUCCUACCUCUUGACGAACUGUGAUGCCAUUAAUUUGGUGUCGCAAGGAAUCAGGACUGUUACCUUGAAAAAUUGAGUGUUUAAAGCAGGCUUACGCUUGAAUACAUUAGCAUGGAAUAAUGAAAUAGGACGUUUGAACCUAUUUUGUUGGUUUCUAGGAUCGACGUAAUGAUUAAUAGGGAUAGUUGGGGGCAUUAGUAUUCAAUUGUCAGAGGUGAAAUUCUUGGAUUUAUUGAAGACUAACUACUGCGAAAGCAUUUGCCAAGGAUGUUUUCAUUAAUCAAGAACGAAAGUUAGGGGAUCGAAGACGAUCAGAUACCGUCGUAGUCUUAACCAUAAACUAUGCCGACUAGGGAUCGGAUGAUGUUAAUUUUAAUGACUCAUUCGGCGCC